GAAGUAUUGACAUGGCUUAAGUAACUAAAAAUCGAAAGUUGCAUGAUCAUUGUAGCCGUUAACCUAUGUUUCCUAGAUGUCCUUAUUUUUGCUAACUUGGAAAACUUGAUUGUUUUGUUUUGCUCAUUGGCUCAUGAGGAUUGAUAGAGUUCAGGGGUAACUGAGAAAUAUAAGUUCCUUUAGAUAAUGUAUUGAGGUGCAUAUCUCCAACGGUAUAGAGUUCUUAUGAUCUCUGAGUUUCAUUGUAGACUUUUCUAACAGUUUUAAUGUGUUUAUUUUUGUCUUCAAAUAUUCUUACACCUGCCAUUUACAUGCUAAAGCGGGCUUCAAGAACCUCCAAUCCCUCGAAAUAUGAUGCGGGGGUUUAACUGAUGCUGGUGUGAAAAAUAUCAAAGAUCUCCGCUCGUUAAUACUACUGAACCUUUCACAAAACUGCAACCUGACAAACAAAUCCUUGGAGUUUAUUUCAGGAUUGACCGCAUUGGUGUCGUUAAAUGUUUUGAACUCCAACAUAACUAAUGACGGUUUAUCAUAUUUAAAGCCUCUAAAGAAUUUACGGUCGCUAUCUUUGGACUCGAGCCAGGUAACCUCCGCCCAAAUUAAGAAGCUUCAGUCAGCGGCCCUCCCUAACCUCGUGAGCUCUCGACCGGAAUAAAA